rnacentral:rRNA from 1 species
CGACGAUACGCGAGGAACCGUUACCUGGGCGUCGAACGUAAGAUGACUGUAGGUGAAAGCUUACAUCUCUUCGGAGCAUUUUACGAGGUGCUGCAUGGUUGUCGUCAGCUCGUGCCGUGAGGUGUCGGGUUAAGUCCCAUAACGAGCGCAACCCCUACCUUUAGUUGCCAUCAGGUAAUGCUGGGGACUCUAAAGGAACUGCCUACGCAAGUAGUGAGGAAGGCGGGGAUGACGUCAAAUCAGCACGGCCCUUACGUCCAGGGCUACACACGUGCUACAAUGGCCGAUACAGAGGGCAGCUACCUGGUGACAGGAUGCAAAUCUCCAAAGUCGGUCUCAGUUCGGAUCGGAGUCUGCAACCCGACUCCGUGAAGUUGGAUUCGCUAGUAAUCGCGCAUCAGCCAUGGCGCGGUGAAUACGUUCCCGGGCCUU